GCUUCUCAAUGCAGAACCGUCCCACUCUGCCUGCUCAACCUGUGCCCAGGUGUCUUCAAUUCCCACUCUCACAGAGCCCUCCUCCUCCCUCUCACACUGCCCUACUUGGGGCUAAUCAGGGCUCACUGUGGGAGUUCAGGGGAGCUGUUGAGUGUGGGCAGUAGGUAGUUGUGGGUAGUGAGAGUUCAGGGUAUUUCCUGGGGAGGGGAGCAAUCAAAUAUCAGAGAUCCCCUGGUACAAUAUUUCCUGCUUUCUCCUCCUAACCUCUGCCUCCUAUUCAGUGCAGGAGAGUGGGGUUUUUCAAUAAAGUUUCUGCAGGCUAGAAGAUCCACCUCCCUGCUGUAUGGUUUCCUUACCACCAUUGGAUAAGUAACAAGCCCAAGGUUGACCUGAAAUGAAGGCCCUUCUGGACCCUCUGACCUGAGGGAUCAACCCUGUCUUUCUUGAGCAGAGACACCUCCACAUGGCAAGCAGAGCCUGGUCUCUGGUGAAAAAGAUUGCAAUACUGGUUGCUGUGAAACUACCUGUUUUGCAAAAGAGUGGAGUUCAUUUUUCCAGUAGGAAUAACUGUGUUGCUUUAACAGUAGCAACACCCUAUGGCCCAAGAAACAAUUACUGAGUUUUCAGAAAUGGAUGCA
rnacentral:lncRNA from 1 species